GGGAGAACGACCUGAGCGAACAUCCUGAGGUGGCUGAAUCAGCUGUGGGGAGCAGCCCGGACCCGACUUGAAGGGAGGUGCCAUGAAGUGCAGCUCAAAUGCACAGCAGCCAGAAACACAGCCACUUCUCUGGAGGCCUCUCAAGCUUCUAGUCCCUUUCCCUCACCCUUACUGGAUCAAAAACCUGGAGUGGACAUAGAGUGAAUAUGCAAGAAGAUAUGGGAUAUAUCCUUGCUCUACUUUUUAGCAUUCCUUCUCCUCAGCCCCAUCAUAUAUCCCAGCAGGUCAGCAUUUGUUCUGAUUUGGGGGUAGACAGGGUAGAAGGAAGCAAGGGCUGAGUUUAGAGGUUAGGGAAGUUGAAAACUAAUCCAUGGUCUAUAUCUAACCAUGACCUACUCCAUGGAAAGGGGGAGUCUGCUUCUCCUUCUCUCCUUGGUGGACUGAAACCAAGAAUCAUAAGCAAGAAUCCUUUUUGUCCUAGAUGCCUGGCAAAGAGCUCAGCUCUGUCCUUUGUGGGAUCAUUGGCUGCUGUGAUUAAUGAUUCCUUCCGGGAAAUUCAGCUGUGCCAUUAUCACAGUGAUAAGGGUCACCAAGUCCCAGAAAGCUUCUGAGUGAGUUCCACGUGGGCUAUGCCCCCAGGGGGAUCCUUGAACCAUUCCUGGAAAUCGGAGGCUCUGGACCACUGAGGACAAAUCAAGUCUGAUUGAUCAUGUAUUCAGACUCUCUUGUAGUCACUGAAAUCUGUAUAGAAACAAAAUGGCUCUCACGACUUGAUGUCAGGAUGGGAACCCAAACUAUCUGACCUGGGCACAAGGCCACGAAUGACAAGGCAAGAAACAAUGCUUAAUGUCCAUUUUGCACUUCACGCUAUGUUCUGAGAUAACAAACACACAUGCACUAUCUCAUCUUUACAGCAACUCUAGGAAGAAGACAGCAUAAUAACUCCCACUGUCUAUAUAAGAAAACCGAGGACCCAGAAAUGAGGUUUUCUUCUCAAGGUCAUACAGUGAGGUGGCAGGGUGUGAACUUGGAAUCACAUCUGCCUGAUGACAAAAAAUGCUGCACUCUCUUUUGAGGGCUGGAGGCAGGUAGAAUCUCACAGAGAAAAAUAAGUUUUCUCUCCUGAUUUUGUAACUAGGACGUUGGUCCAUUAUUCCAAUACACACAUAUACGCCUUGAGAAGAGAGAGCAGUCCUAACAAAGCAGGACUUUAGGAAGCUAAAUCCUGAGUUUUACUGACAAAAGUAGUACUGGCAGAAUCUAUUGCUCUGAUCCCAUCUGAUCAAUGCAAUGCUCCGUGACUAUGGGACCCGGCACCAUAGGCCUGUGUGACCGGCAGUUCCAGGCUGCAUGCUCUUGGCAUCCAUGCUGGGCACUGUACUACAUCAUUUUCCCUCCCAUGCAGGCCUCUUCUUCCCCAGUGGGCUGUGCCUUCUUAAGGACCCAGAUCCUUUCACUCCUGCUUCAAACCCUCUGCACUGGCUGCCAUGAUCCCUCAGAGAAGAUCCUCCUCCUCUGGAGUCACUCUGUCUCUACUGGCUCCUCCUCCAACCUCUCCUCUGGAAUGCUCUGACAAUGCAAAUUAAACGAGGUUACUCCAACUUCAAAGUCCCUCAGGGACCCACUGUCUUUCAGCACAACAUCCAAAGUCCUUCCUAAACUCAUCCCUCACCCUUCCCUCGCCCACUUCUGGCUCUCCAGCUACACGCGGUUACCUGCAGCUUCACAGCGGGUUCUUACUCCCCAGUUUUUACUCAUGCUCUUCACAACACCUGCAAUGUCUUUUCUUCACCUUAUUCGCCUAACACUAUGGCCUUCGCAGAAUCACCUCACCUCUCUGAAACAGAAAUGGGUAGAAGUGGGUUG